UGCGUAGGCGGACUAAUAAGUCAGUGGUGAAAUCUUUCGGCUCAACCGGGAAACUGCCAUUGAUACUGUUAGUCUUGAGUUCGGUUGAGGUAGGCGGAAUGUGUAAUGUAGCGGUGAAAUGCCUAGAUAUUACACAGAACACCAAUUGCGUAGGCAGCUUACUAGACCGACACUGACGCUGAGGCACGAAAGCGUGGGGAGCGAACAGGAUUAGAUACCCUGGUAGUCC
rnacentral:rRNA from 1 species